UUAAGUAGGCGGAGGAAAUGACACAAACAUGGAUUCACUGAGUAACUGCGAGUGACAUGUGAUUUGCUCACAGCUGAUAUUCUUUGCUGUCUGCUUUGACAUGAGGACUUUGAGUGCGGUGCCAAUGGUGGUGUAAGUGUGAGCCAUCUUGGAAAAGAGGAGAGUGUGCACUGACAAGGGUGAGAAGCCUGUGUGUGCUUGCAAAAUCUCCAUAUGGGGGUCACGCUUUGAGAAUCAUGCUCUUAAAGUGGGUGGUAGACUCUUCUCAAAGCUGAGUACAGAACUGGGACCGACAGGGAAGAAGUACCAUGAGGGAAGUGUGAAAAUGACUUUGGAAAGAGACUUAAAAGAGCCUGUACUUGCUGAAGGAUAUGCAUACAGCAUGCUUGCAUGUGAGAUGAUUGCUGUGUGUAUGAGUCUGACUUUGGCUGGAUGGCCAUGGCCGUGUGCCAUGGACACUUGGCCACCCAAUGUGUAUCCUCUUGUGUGUGCCAGCAUGUGGGAGACAGUCAGUGUUUGAGCGCAGUGGUUGCUGUGUCUGGGGAUACAUCAGAUGUGCACUCAAAGAUCUGAGCAUGUUGAGAAGCAGGUGCAGAAGGGCCCUCCUGUCUGUAUGACCCGUCUUGAAACACGGACCAAGGAGUCUAGCAUGAGUGCAAGCAUAUGGGACCGAAGGCUCUGUGUGCAAUGAAGGUGGAGUCCCAGAUUUGUGCAUGAGUGUCCAAACAAGCAGGAGGACAAGGUUUGAGUGUGAGCAUUCCUGACAGGACCCGAAAGAUGGUGAACUAUGCCCGGAAAGGGCCAAGUCAGGGGAAACUCUGGUGGAGGCUCGUAGCGUUACUGACGUGCAAAUCGUUCGUCACACCUGGGUAUGGGGGCGAAAGACUAAUCGAACCAUCUAGUAGCUGGUUCCCUCUGAAGUUUCCCUCAGGAUAGCUGAACUUGCAGGACUUUCACCAGGUAAAGCGAGUGAUUGGAGGAAUUGGGGGUUGCAGACCUUUGACCUAUUCUCAAACUCUUAAUGGGUGUGCUGUGUGGUUGCUUAGCUGAACCAACAGCUAAUGAUGACUCUUAGUGGGCCACUUUUGGUAAGCAGAACUGGCGAUGAGGGGUGAACCUGAUGAUGGGUUAAGGCACUGAAGUUCUUGCUCAUCAGAAACUGUAAAGGGUGUUGGCUCAUUCUGACAGCAGGUCGGUGGUCAUGGAAGUUGAAAUCCGCUUGGGAGUGU
rnacentral:rRNA from 1 species